rnacentral:rRNA from 1 species
CUGGCGGCAGGCCUAACACAUGCAAGUCGAGCGGAAACGACGAUUUGNUGGGCGUCGAGCGGCGGACNGNUGAGUAAUGCCUAGGAAAUUGCCUUGAUGUGGGGGAUAACCAUUGGAAACGAUGGCUAAUACCGCAUAAUGCCUACGGGCCAAAGAGGGGGACCUUCGGGCCUCUCGCGUCAAGAUAUGCCUAGGUGGGAUUAGCUAGUUGGUGAGGUAAUGGCUCACCAANGCGACGAUCCCUANCUGGUCUGAGAGGAUGAUCANCCACACUGGAACUGAGACACGGUCCAGACUCCUACGGGAGGCANCANUGGGGAAUAUUGNACANUGGGCGAAAGCCUGAUGCANCCAUGCCGNGUGUAUGAAGAAGGCCUUCNGGUUGUAAAGUACUUUCAGUUGUGAGGAAGGGUGUGUAGUUAAUAGCUGCGCAUCUUGACGUUAGCAACAGAAGAAGCACCGGCUAACUCCGUGCCAGCAGCCGCGGUAAUACGGAGGGUGCGAGCGUUAAUCNGAAUUACUGGGGCGUAAAGCGCAUGCAAGUGGUUCAUUAAGUCAGAUGUGAAAGCCCGGGGCUCAACCUCGGAACUGCAUUUGAA